rnacentral:rRNA from 1 species
GAUGAACGCUAGCGGCAGGCUUAAUACAUGCAAGUCGUGGGGCAGCAUGAGUAGCAAUACUUGAUGGCGACCGGCAAACGGGUGAGGGAACACGUACACAACCUUCCUUCAAGCGGGGAAUAGCCCAGAGAAAUUUGGAUUAAUACCCCAUAAUAUAUUUGAUAAGGCAUCUUAUUAAUAUUAAAGCUUCGGCACUUGAUGAUGGGUGUGCGGCUGAUUAGAUAGUUGGCGGGGUAACGGCCCACCAAGUCUACGAUCAGUAGCUGAUGUGAGAGCAUGAUCAGCCACACGGGCACUGAGACACGGGCCCGACUCCUACGGGAGGCAGCAGUAAGGAAUAUUGGACAAAUGGACGGAAAAGUACUGAUCCA